CCAAUAGCGUAUAUUAAAGUUGUUGCAGUUAAAAAGCUCGUAGUUGAAUUUCGGAAUCUGUCCAUUGGUCGGGCUUCACUGUCCGUACUGGUGUGGUGGGUUCUUACCUUCUGAAUAACCAGCAUGCCAUUUAUUUGGUGCGUUGGGGAAGCAGGACUAUUACCUUGAAAAAAUUAGAGUGCUCAAAGCAGGCUAGUGCCUGAAUCCAUUAGCAUGGAAUAAUAAAAUAGGACGGCAUGGUUCUAUUUUGUUGGUUUCUAGGAUCACCGUAAUGAUUAAUAGGGAUAGUUGGGGGCAUUAGUAUUCAAUUGUCAGAGGUGAAAUUCUUGGAUUUAUUGAAGACUAACUUCUGCGAAAGCAUUUGCCAAGGAUGUUUUCAUUAAUCAAGAACGAAAGUUAGGGGAUCGAAGACGAUCAGAUACCGUCGUAGUCUUAACCAUAAACUAUGCCGACUAGGGAUCGGACGAUGUUAAUUUUUUAAUGACUCGUUCGGCGCCUUACG
rnacentral:rRNA from 1 species